rnacentral:rRNA from 1 species
GAGGAGCCUGCGGCGGAUUAGCUAGUUGGUAGGGUAACGGCUUACCAAGGCGACGAUCUGUAGCCGGCCUGAGAGGGCGGUCGGCCACACUGACACUGACAUACGGGUCAGACUCCUACGGGAGGCAGCAGUCGGGAAUUUUGGGCAAUGGGCGAAAGCCUGACCCAGCAACGCCGCGUGAAGGAUGAAAUCCCUCGGGAUGUAAACUUCGCAAGAAUGGGAAGAAUUAGUAGGGGACAAUACCCCCUAUGAUGACGGUACCAUUUGUAAGCUCCGGCUAACUCCGUGCCAGCAGCCGCGGUAAUACGGGGGGAGCAAGCGUUGUUCGGAUUUACUGGGCGUAAAGGGCGCGUAGGCGGCCAGCGCAAGUCGGUUGUGAAAUCUCCGGGCUUAACUCGGAAAGGUCAACCGAUACUGCGCGGCUAGAGUGCGGAAGGGGCAACUGGAAUUCUCGGUGUAGCGGUGAAAUGCGUAGAUAUCGAGAGG